rnacentral:tRNA from 1 species
GCCUGGGUGGCUCAGUUGGUUAGGCGUCUGACUUUGGCUCAGGUCAUGAUCUCAGUAGUUGGCGGGUUCAAGCCCCGUGUCAGGCU